GCCUGGGUUGGAUUUAUGGCAAGCCCAUCCUCCUGGGUCUCUCACAGCGCCCCAUGUCAGAGGAGACUGCAGCCUUAAACCAUUACCUGGCCUCUUGCCCAUAGGCUGCAGGCACUGAAGUGGGUUACUCGGGG